GUGGGGAAUAUUGGGCAAUGGGGGAAACCCUGACCCAGCAACGCCGCGUGAAGGAAGAAGGCUUUCGGGUUGUAAACUUCUUUUACCAGGGACGAAGAAAGUGACGGUACCUGGAGAAAAAGCCACGGCUAACUACGUGCCAGCAGCCGCGGUAAUACGUAGGUGGCAAGCGUUGUCCGGAUUUACUGGGUGUAAAGGGCGUGUAGGCGGAGAUGCAAGUCAGAUGUGAAAUCCUCGGGCUUAACCCGGGAACUGCAUUUGAAACUGUAUCCCUUGAGUAUCGGAGAGGCAGGCGGAAUUCCUAGUGUAGCGGUGAAAUGCGUAGAUAUUAGGAGGAACACCAGUGGCGAAGGCGGCCUGCUGGACGACAACUGACGCUGAGGCGCGAAAGCGUGGGGAGCAAACAGGAUUAGAUACCCUUGUAGUCC
rnacentral:rRNA from 1 species